rfam:Pelodiscus sinensis unplaced genomic scaffold scaffold5168, whole genome shotgun sequence.
UCCCUGGUGGUCUAGUGGCUGGGAUUCAACACUUUCACUAUUGAGACCUGGGUUCAAUUCCCAGUCAGGGAA